rnacentral:rRNA from 1 species
UACAGAGGGGGCAAGCGUUGUUCGGAAUUACUGGGCGUAAAGGGCGCGUAGGUGGCCUUCUAAGUCGAACGUGAAAUCCCUGGGCUCAACCCAGGAACUGCGUCCGAUACUGGAAGGCUUGAAUCCGGGAGAGGGAUGCGGAAUUCCAGGUGUAGCGGUGAAAUGCGUAGAUAUCUGGAGGAACACCGGUGGCGAAGGCGGCAUCCUGGACCGGCAUUGACGCUGAGGCGCGAAAGCGUGGGGAGCAAACAGG